GGUGCCGGGAGGAAGGGGAGGAAGGGGGUGGAGGGUACCUCGAGGGGGAAGAAAUUUUGAGCAGCUUUCACGAGGCCCUACCGGCUACCCUACCCCCACUCCGGGUCUUCAGCGUCCUCCCGGGGCCGCAGUGUUGGGGAUAGAUUCUGCCCAGGAUCGGGCCAGUAGGAUGGGAGAGUUUGGACGUGCUUGGGCGCCUCUCAAAGAUUUGGCUUUUCCUGCGGACAGCGCCCCGCCCCCAUCCUAGGAACUCCGGACCUGGGCGGUCUUCGAGGGAAAGGGGGAGGGAGUAGGAGACAGAAGUGGAGAAGAUUUGGCAGUGGCCGCAGGCGGACGCCUGAGAAUCAACUUCUUGGAGGAUCCCGCCUUCCCACUCUCUCUCCUAACCCAGCCGGCUGCCCCGAGGAGCCUCAGAGGUCCUUUUCGUCCCUAAACGCGCCUUCGGCAGGGUCUGCCCGCGAGCGCCCCCAAGCGGCAGGUCUCAGAGUCCAGGUCGUUGGGAAAACCCAGGAGGAAAGUGAUUGUCCCACCUCCCCACGGAUCCACUGAUGAGAGUCGAGAGUGAAGUUCACCUGGGGCGCCUGGGUGGCUCAGUGGGUUAAGCGUCCGACUUCAGCUCAGGUCAUGAUCUUGUGGUCUGUGAGUUCAAGCCCCACGUCUGGCUCCGUGCUGACAGCUCGGAGCCUGGAGCCUGUUUUGGAUUCUGUGUCUCCCUCUCUCUCUGCCCCUCCCCCACUCAUGCUCUGCCUCUCUCUCCUUGUCAAAAAUAAAUAAACAUUAAAAAAAUUAAAAAAAAAAAAAGACUGAAGUUCACCUAUGUCAGGUCUUUGCUCCAAUGUUACUUCCUCAAAGAGAUGGUCCCGGAUCACUUGUUAAAAACGGCAUACUCCUGGGGCUCCUGGAUGGCUCAGUAG